GAUGAACGCUGGCGGCGUGCCUAAUACAUGCAAGUCGAGCGAACAGAUGAGGAGCUUGCUCCUCUGACGUUAGCGGCGGACGGGUGAGUAACACGUGGAUAACCUACCUAUAAGACUGGGAUAACUUCGGGAAACCGGAGCUAAUAUCGGAUAAUAUAUUGAACCGCAUGGUUCAAUAGUGAAAGACGGUUUUGCUGUCACUUAUAGAUGGAUCCGCGCCGCAUUAGCUAGUUGGUAAGGUAACGGCUUACCAAGGCAACGAUGCGUAGCCGACCUGAGAGGGUGAUCGGCCACACUGGAACUGAGACACGGUCCAGACUCCUACGGGAGGCAGCAGUAGGGAAUCUGCCGCAAUGGGCGAAAGCCUGACGGAGCAACGCCGCGUGAGUGAUGAAGGUCUUCGGAUCGUAAAACUCUGUUAUUAGGGAAGAACAAAUGUGUAAGUAGCUAUGCACGUCUUGACGGUACCUAAUCAGAAAGCCACGGCUAACUACGUG
rnacentral:rRNA from 1 species